CAGUCGCCGCGGUAAUACAGAGGGUGCGAGCGUUAAUCGGAUUUACUGGGCGUAAAGCGUGCGUAGGCGGCUUUUUAAGUCGGAUGUGAAAUCCCUGAGCUUAACUUAGGAAUUGCAUUCGAUACUGGGAAGCUAGAGUAUGGGAGAGGAUGGUAGAAUUCCAGGUGUAGCGGUGAAAUGCGUAGAGAUCUGGAGGAAUACCGAUGGCGAAGGCAGCCAUCUGGCCUAAUACUGACGCUGAGGAGCGAAAGCAUGGGGAGCGAACAGGAUUAGAUACCCCCGUAGUCCCUGUCUCUUAUAC
rnacentral:rRNA from 1 species